GGAUGAGAUGGCUGGAUGGCAUCACGGACUCGAUGGACGUGAGUCUGAGUGAACUCCGGGAGUUGGUGAUGGACAGGGAGGCCUGGCGUGCUGCGAUUCAUGGGGUCGCAAAGAGUCGGACACGACUGAGCGACUGAACUGAACUGUGCUCUUGGCUGUACCUGUUACAGCGCCUAGUCUUGGGGCGCUAGGAAUAUUUGUUAAACAAAUGAAUGUUAGGCAAUUCAAGCAUCCUGCAGACCAGAGAAAUGUGCGGAAGAGCCCUGGUUGAGUGUUUGAUGUGUUUCAGUUGGGAGAGUAGCCGCACUAUUCUGCAGUAAUAACCAAACUCUGACAUUGCGGCGGCUUGACACAACUACGUUCCAUAUGUGCUCAUAGGAAGUCUCACAUGGGUUAGGCAGUCCUCCCCCCAUCUGUAGUCACAUCAUCUGGAAUAUGGGGCCAUCACAGUUCCCCAGCCUCUGGCUUUUAACUGCCUUACCAAGGAACUGACACCUAUUACUUCUAUGCACAUUUAAUUGGUCAGAACUUCUCACAUGGCUCCAACCUAACUGUAAAGGAGGCUGGGAAGUGGAGAGGGGUAAAGGGUUGUCUUCGUGGUUUCAAAGGAGAGGAUGUUGCUUUGUUUUUGAUAGGUAAGAAGGGAAUUUAUUCGGAUUUGGAGAGAAGCACACUCCACAGAUAGAGUGUGGGCCAUCACAGAGGGCGCGUGCUGCCUGUAUUUCUUAUCUCUGGUUUUAAUCCAUUAGAGUGCCUACAGCCUCAUCAAUUAUCGUCAGUUGUCAUAUUUUUUUAAAAACACUAACAAGAAGGGAACACCUGCCACUUUCUUUAAUCCAGGGAAGAAGGCAAGAAAUGGCCGAAGGGGAGUCACACGGCAGGAAUUUUAACCUCUCCGUUAUUACAUUUUUGGGGAUUCCCUGGUGGCUCAGAGGUUAAAGCAUCUGCCUGUAACGCAGGAGACCUGGGUUCGAUCCCUGGGUCGGGAAGAUCCUGGAGAAGGAAAUGGCAAGAAUACUGGAUGGCUUGCCAUUCCCUUCUCCAGGGCAUCUUCCCCACCCAGGGAUGGAAUCCUAGUCUCCUGCAUUGCCGGCAGAUUCCUUACCGACUGAGCCACCAGGGAAGCCCAAGUAUAAAAAUUGGGAAGGAUGGCAUGUUUGCUCUCUGAGCAGCUUGUGAGUGACGAAUGCAUUUCCACUUUGGGCUGCUAGGGGUUAGGAGCCAGAUCUUCUUCCUUG
ensembl:lncRNA